UACAUAGCUUAAUGAGGGGAACUCAGGGAACUGAAACAUCUAAGUACCUGAAGGAAGAGAAAGAAAUUCGAUUCCGUAAGUAGCGGCGAGCGAACGCGGAUUAGCCCAAACCAAUAAAGUUUUCUUUGUUGGGGUUGCGGACAUAUCAUCACGCAGAGGUCGCGUAAUUUAAGAGGUUUGGAAAUACCCACCACAGAAGGUAAUAGUCCUGUAUGUUAAACGAGAAGCCUUUAGAUAUGAUCCAGAGUACCCCGGGAAACGCAAAACCCUGUGGGCAUCAGAAGGGACCCCCCUCCAAGGCUAAAUACUACCUAGUGACCGAUAGCGUAUAGUACCGUGAGGGAAAGGUGAAAAGAACCCCGGGAGGGGAGUGAAAUAGAACCUGAAACCCUGCACUUACAAGCUGUGGAAGCACAUUUCUUGUGUGACCGCGUACUUUUUGUAGAACGGGCCAACGAGUUACGUUAAGUAGCAAGGUUAAGCACUUAAGGUGUGGAGCCGUAGCGAAAGCGAGUUUUAACUGAGCGUUCAGUUACUUGACGUAGACCCGAAACCGGGCGACCUACCCAUGAGCAGGAUGAAGCGAAAGUAAAAUUUCGGGGAGGUCCGAACCCACGAGCGUUGAAAAGCUCGGGGAUGACUUGUGGGUAGCGGUGAAAUUCCAAUCGAGCCCGGAGAUAGCUGGUUCUCCCCGAAAUAGCUUUAGGGCUAGCCUCAAGGUGAGAGAUACGGAGGUAGAGCACUGAAUGUCCUAGGGGGUAUUGCACCUACCGAAGACUAUCAAACUCCGAAUGCCGUCAUCUUAUACUUGGGAGUCAGACUGUGGGUGAUAAGAUUCAUAGUCGAAAGGGCAACAGCCCAGAUCGUCAGCUAAGGUCCCUAAAUGUAAGUUAAGUGGUAAAGGAUGUGGGAUUGCACAGACAACCAUGAUGUUGGCUUAGAAGCAGCCACUCAUUCAAAGAGUGCGUAAUAGCUCACUGGUCGAGUGAUCCUGCGCCGAAGAUUUCCGGGGCUAAAACUUACUACCGAAGCUACGGCAUCAGUAAUGAUGGGUAGGGGAGCUUCCCAUACGGGUUGAAGCAUGACCGUAAGGACAUG
rnacentral:rRNA from 1 species